AGAGUUUGAUCCUGGCUCAGGACGAACGCUGGCGGCGUGCUUAACACAUGCAAGUCGAGCGGAAAGGCCCCUUCGGGGGUACUCGAGCGGCGAACGGGUGAGUAACACGUGAGCAACCUGCCCCUGACACUGGGAUAAGCCUGGGAAACCGGGUACUAAUACCGGAUAUGACCUGCCUCCGCAUGGGGGUGGGUGGAAAGGUUGGCCCGUUUGGGUCUUCCGGUCAGGGAUGGGCUCGCGGCCUAUCAGCUUGUUGGUGGGGUUACGGCCUACUCAAGGCUGACGACGGGUAGCCGGCCUGAGAGGGCGUACCGGCCACACUGGGACUGAGACACGGCCCAGACUCCUACGGGAGGCAGCAGUGGGGUAAUAUUGCGCAAUGGGCGAAAGCCUGACGCAGCGACGCCGCGUGGGGGAUGAAGGCCUUCCGGGUUGUAAACCUCUUUCGGCAGGGAACGUAAGUUGACGUGUACCUGCGG
rnacentral:rRNA from 1 species